rnacentral:sRNA from 1 species
CUGGUCGUUUUUUGCUCAAGCGCCCGUGGUCAGUGGGUAAAAAGGCAGCCAAGGUGAAAAAAAAGUGUCCGCCUUGCGCCCCGUCAGUUUACUUACUACAAGUUAUGGGUAGUAUGUACGCCGGCUAAUUUCCCACGCUCGGGGAA